UGCUACAUGGUCAAGGCAGGGGUUUUCACAGGAAUGCUCUUUGGGCAAUCGAUGCGGGUGAAAACGGAUGUACACAGUGACUGAGCGGAGAAAGCACCCGGGGAGUUCCAGGAGGAAGAUCAGAGAGGCUGAAGCAGGCAGAGUGAGCAGUGGUCAGCAAAGGCAGAGGGGCUAUGCCGGCGCCAUGUUUCACCCUACAAGACGGCAGUCUGGGCGAGCCUGUGCUAGGCACAGGCUCUGGGGGGCUUGUCUGUGAGGUUUUGCAGAGUGAGAGCGGAUUGUUCCGCUUAUAUAAGGCAAGAAUUCCCGGAUAUCCGGUCAUGUUAGCCCAAGGAGAGGCGGAGAAAAGGCUGGUCAGUCCCUAGGUGCCAGGAACUACAUCAAGAUUACCAUCUGGAAGGAAAACAACUGGAUUUUUUGGGGAUGCCUGCUUGUACUUUAGCUCAGUAGCCCAGUGCAGAAGAGAGCCUCCUGGGCUGGAGGGGUGGCUCAGCGGUUAAGAGCACUGAUUGAUUUUCCACAGGUCCUGAGUUCAAUUCCCAGCAACUACAUGAUGGCGCACAACUAUCUGCAAUGUGAUCUGAUGCCCUUUUCUGGUGUGUCUGAAGACAGUGACAGUGUACAAUAAAUAAAUAAAUAAAUGUUAGAGAGAAGAAGAAGAAGGAGAUUAAGAAGCAGAGG